AUCACUCCGCGGCCUGUUUGGCUUAGGUUGAGUGUGGUGUCUGCUCCUGUCAGUGUGAUAUCUGGUACAGCCUUAGUUUGAGGCUGUGAUAGGAAGUGGUAUUUUGGUACAAGAGGAUGGGGUAUGGACCUUGCUAUAUCCACUCCAUGCAGUCAUCUGGUGUUGCCCCCCUGGGGGUAACUAUCAGU